GUUAAAGUGGCAGAGUCCGGCAAUUGCAUAAAACUUAAGCCUUUAGCUUCAGAGGUUCAAGUCCUCUCUUUAACA
rnacentral:tRNA from 1 species